rnacentral:SRP_RNA from 1 species
UGUUGGUUUCCUCGCGACGAUAAUUAAGUCAAUCCGUCAGGCCUGGAAGGGAGCAGCGGCACUUUUGGACUCGGGCGCCGAGAUUAGGCUAGCACGG